rnacentral:tRNA from 1 species
GCCCGAGUGGCGGAAUGGUAGACGCAGCGGAUUCAAAAUCCGCCGAUGCAAAUCAUGUCGGUUCGAGUCCGACCUCGGGUACCA